AUGCCUAUCUGGCCCGGAAGACAUCAUGAUCAGGAAAGUGGUUUUCCCAGGACAAGACUCAUAUUCCACUGAAAGUGUUAUGAACCUAUGCCACAGCCAUGCUGCCCGUUAGGCACAGCUGC
rnacentral:snRNA from 1 species